AGUGAACGCUGGCGGUAGGCCUAACACAUGCAAGUCGAACGGCAGCACAGUAAGAGCUUGCUCUUACGGGUGGCGAGUGGCGGACGGGUGAGGAAUACAUCGGAAUCUACUUUUUCGUGGGGGAUAACGUAGGGAAACUUACGCUAAUACCGCAUACGACCUACGGGUGAAAGCAGGGGAUCUUCGGACCUUGCGCGAUUGAAUGAGCCGAUGUCGGAUUAGCUAGUUGGCGGGGUAAAGGCCCACCAAGGCGACGAUCCGUAGCUGGUCUGAGAGGAUGAUCAGCCACACUGGAACUGAGACACGGUCCAGACUCCUACGGGAGGCAGCAGGGGGGAAGAUUGGAAAAUGGGCGCAAGCCUGAUCCAGCCAUACCGCGUGGGUGAAGAAGGCCUUCGGGUUGUAAAGCCCUUUGUUGGGAAAGAAAAGCAGCAGGUUAAUACCCCGCUGUUCUGACGGUACCCAAAGAAUAAGCACCGGCUAACUUCGUG
rnacentral:rRNA from 1 species